GAUGCAAUGUCAAGAAUCCAGAUGCGAACAAAACAAAGUUUUUGAGUCAUUUCUAUAAAAUGCAGAUACUUCGGUAAGAUCGCCGACACAACUCAUCAAACUUUAACAAGUGUUAUAUUGAUAUAUUGAUCAAGGCGACAAGAUGAAACUUGCUCUGUUGACCAUCGCCAUUCUCGUCGUGGUAAUCCCGUCAGUGAUUGCCGAUUACUCGAAUGUGUACCACUGGCAUAUCAAAUUCAAAGAUUUCCCCUGCGGUGUGCCCUCCUCCUCUUGGUCGGGAAGACGAAAGCGUGAUACCUACCUCAACAAGUGGGCUUGGAAACAUUCUAUGGUCUCCUUCAGAGAAAAGUACUAUGAGUGGGGAAAUGACAUAGUGAUAUAUAGAGAUGGGGGCAUCGGAAGACAGGGAAAAUCCCCCUGUAAUAAGUUUUAUGGACAGAAGAGCUACGUAGGACGAAGUAGAUGUACCAAGGAACAAGCGGAUCGGCUCGGGGCAUGGUACAUCCGUAAUAAUGUCUACUGGUUUAUGUUUAAUAAUUGUCAUCACUACGCAGAGUGGUUGAUUAACAGGUUGGUUAAUAAUAGGUGCUGACUUGUUAAAUCUUGUCUGGAUGGUUGGUUAACAAGUUGGUUAAUAAUACUGUAGGUGCUAUAUCUGGCUUGUUAAAUCUUGUCUGGAUGGUUGAUUAAGUUGGUUAAUGAUAGGUGCUAACCUGUUAAAUUUUGUCUGGAUGGUUGAUUGAGUUGGUUAGUAAUAGGUGCUAUAUCUUACUUGUUAUAUCUUGUCUGGAUGGUUAAUUAAGUUGGUUAAUAAUAGAUGCUGCCUUGUUAAAUCUUGUCUGGAUGGUUGAUUAACAAGUUGCUUAAUAGUAGGUGCUAUAUAUCUGACUAGAUAAAUCUUGUCUGGAUGGUUGAAUAACAAGUUGGUUAAUAAUAGGUGCUAUAUAUCAUGAUUGAUCGUAUAUGUUUAUUAUAAUGGAUUUUUUUCUUCUUGGUAGCAUUUAGUUUAGUGAAAUCCCGCUACUGUUUUUCUGUGGCAUUUUAUCUUGGAAUUGUUAUAAGUGUUAGCUUAUUUUCGAUUGUUGACUAUCCAUUCUUAUUCUUAUUAAAGAGACAAAAUAUGAACAAUAUUAUAAGAUUAUAUAGAGUUAUAAUCGGAAUGUACUGAGACUUGAGUCUAUUGACGUAUGGCUUAUCAAUACGUGGUCAUAAGAUUCCCCUCCUAAAAGUUCGCUUUAAGUCUUGGUUAAAUCAGUUUUCUUUUUUAUUUUCGAAGUUUUUCAUUUAUUGUCAAUAUGAAAUAAAUAUAAAAGAAAGUAAUGCCUGAAAUACGAUCUAAAAUACAAUGCUCGUUAAUAAACUUUACAAUCAAAAAGUAUAAUUUUAAAGUGUUUGCCUUGAUCCUCUGACAAGAAUCACCAUCACAGAUCGUGAUAUUAAAAAGGAAACUAAGUUUUACGAGUUCAGUGUUUAAUUAUCAAUCACUGUCAAGAACUCUUCGAUCGUAGUGCACGACAUAUGAACUAAUAUAAAAAUCAUAUCUUCCCUUCUUUUGUAAUAUUUGAGCAUUUUAAAGAGAACCUACGAAAAAGAUAUCUUUAUUAUCUGCCUUGAAUACACUGUAACAAUUAGAGUAGAAUUGUCGACAAAGCACCUGUGGUGUAAUAAGACAACAAUUUUGAGGGACGAAACAUAUUGUUUUGGAGAAGAUUAAAAGAAGCUACAACAUG